GGGCGUCGGAAAGCGGCCUUCUGGGACUCCGCAAACUCCCGUUCUCCCUCCCCCCUCCCCCUUGCCAUUCCCUUUGCCUUCCGGGCGCCAAGUCUCUCUGGCCUCCAAGGUGAACCCAACUCCCCAGCGCGCCCCGGGUUCCCGGGUCGGGCCGGCUUCAGGCGGUGGGGAGCGGGAUCCCGGGCCCCGGGCGGGCGGGAGGGACGGGACGCGGUGCAGUGUUGUUUUUUCCCCCGCCAAUAUUGCACUCGUCCCGGCCUCCGGCCCCCCCGGCCCCCCGGCCUCCCCGCUACCCCUAGCGGGGCAGCCCCCGCCCUCCUGGCUCUCCAUCCCGGCGGAUCUUUGAUAGACUGGAGUGUCGCCGCUGCCACCGUGAGCUUACCAUCUGAGUCCUUCUGAUUGGGAUUGGGUACCAGGCGGCAGUUAUCGGGACCAGGAGGCACAUAAUCUGGGAUGCCAUCAUUGUCAUCAUCCCCAUCACACUCAUCUCCAAGUCCAUCGUUAUCAGAGUCCAGCUGGGAGCUAUUUGGCAGCUGUGGGCAGUUGUCCUUGGUGUCCUGAUGCCCAUCCCCAUCGCUAAUCAGAAGAACAGGUUGGUGAAAGUCCCGAACUUUGUCUCCCCACCCAGAGGACAACUGGCCAGGAAAUCUGCCUGUUUCUUGUCUCACCCUCUAGUCCACACUCUGCCUAACACUACGCCCUACCUCACAUUCCUAUUGACAUCUGCUGCAGGUAAUCUCUCCUCACCCAGGCCAACGUCCACAAGCCUGCCUCCCUAUUUCACAGAGACUUCCUAGCUUCCCUGCUUCAUCCCCACCUGAUCCAAAUUCUCACAGGUCCCCCAGCCACCCCUUCAGCCCCAGGCCUGCACCAUCCCCAUCCACGUCGUUGUCACAGGCAUCUCCUUCCCCAUUGCCAUCUGUGUCCUUCUGGUCAUUGUUGGGAACGUUGGGGCAAUUGUCACAGGCAUCACCAAAUGAAUCUGUAUCUGAGU
rnacentral:lncRNA from 1 species